CCUACGGGAGGCAGCAGUGAGGAAUAUUGGUCAAUGGGCGGAAGCCUGAACCAGCCAAGUCGCGUGAGGGAUUAAGGCCCUGCGGGUCGUAAACCUCUUUUGCCGGGGAGCAGUGGUCCGGACGCGUCCGGACCGGGAGAGUACCCGGAGAAAAAGCAUCGGCUAACUCCGUGCCAGCAGCCGCGGUAAUACGGAGGAUGCGAGCGUUAUCCGGAUUUAUUGGGUUUAAAGGGAGCGUAGGUGGAUUGUUAAGUCAGUUGUGAAAGUUUGCGGCUCAACCGUAAAAUUGCAGUUGAAACUGGCAGUCUUGAGUACAGUAGAGGUGGGCGGAAUUCGUGGUGUAGCGGUGAAAUGCUUAGAUAUCACGAAGAACUCCGAUUGCGAAGGCAGUUCACUGGACUGCAACUGACACUGAGGCUCGAAAGUGUGGGUAUCAAACAGGAUUAGAUACCCGAGUAGUC
rnacentral:rRNA from 1 species